GGGAGGCAGGCAACACCAGCCCUCAGGCUACACUCUCCAUUUGGAGCAGAGCUUCUUCGGCAGCCCCAGGUCUCCCGGGAUCUUCCUCGGUGUCCUGCGGAGGCUCUGGCUCCAGCGUGGGCUCCAGCGCAGGCUGGGCUUCCGGCUGGGCUUCAGCGCUCCGGCCAGGCCCAAGGCGAGGCGGCUUGACCGGGGUGGGCGGUGGCGCUGCAGGGCCUUUCCGGCCCGAAAGGGCCCUUCGGAGGCUCUGUACCUUCUGCAAUCCGGUGCGCCGCAGCCGCUGGGCCCUGGACUCCACCGGCUCCUCGUCCGAGCUCUCUCCAACUUCGGCCUCCAGCUGCUCUGGGCCCAGCUCGGACUGGUCCGCCGGGCCCAAGGGCUCUGGUGCCUUCUGGAAAGCGCUGGCUGGGACUUCACCCUCCUCCUGCAUGUGACGGACACAGCACUGAUCCUGGCAGCUCCUUACCCCCAGCAGCCCGAAACUCACUCCUUAAUUACACAAGGGAAACCUUUUACCUCCGCAGCCAGAGUCUGGGGGGAAAGGCAGGCGUGGGAAGAUGGGUUCUCUACCUGGCCAGUGCCAUGUUGCCUGUUUCUUUACUGUAACUGUGGUGACAAAGAAAAGGGAAGAUGGAGCCUCCAUGUUGAACAUACCUGGCCCCCAGCACUAACUCCCUCUCUGGAUAUCUGGAACAAGGAGGACCUUAAACUUAACAAUAAAGCCAAUGAUGGUUCUACCAGUCUCCCCAAAGCCUCAAGUUUAAAAGCCAUAUGAACUGGCUGAUAGUGGAAAAUGGAAGCCAUGAGGAAAUCAGAUUAGAGUACUACCUGGUGAAGCCUGGAGGACCUACCAAGAAAAGCAAACUUGGAUCUUUGCAAGGUUAGAAGAACGAAUGGGAUCCAAGAAAAAGACUGGUCAUAUUCAACGGCUAAGAGCGUUGGAGAAGGCCUGUGGAGUCUCAGCAGGUCAGGUCCAUGACUCAUGAGUAGACACCUGUGUUUCUACUGCCUGGUGCCAUAAUCAUAAACAAGGAAGAAACUGAGGACAGGAGGGGCCAAACAAGUUACAGUUUCAUCCCUCCAGAGAGCCAACAGAGUAUUUUGCACGAAGUUGAAGCUAAACAGGUAUUAUGUCCUAUCUCUGGACUGAAUGACUAGAUGCUACUCAGCUUCUGAACUAGAGGAAGCCUGGGACCUUGACCGCACUAAUGCUGAUGACAGCGGAUUUGCAAGUGGCUAGAGGUACCAGAUUUAGCAAAUCAAAAUAUAGGACGUCAAGUUAAAUUUAAGUGUAAGAUAAGCUACGAAUACCUUUUCUAGUAUUAGUACGUCCCAUGCAAUAUACUAGAAAUGUUAUUCGUUAUUUAUGUUAAAUUUAAUUUUAUUAGGGCAUCCUAUAUUUUACCUGUCAAUCCAACCCAUGACCUAGGCAGACACUGUAGAAAAACAAAAGGAGAAUUAAGGAGAUAAAUGAAACACAGGGUGAGCUGAAAAGAGGUGCUCUGUGAAUUUGAGGGUCCAGUAGGAGCUGACUUGUAGGUACUUGGUCUGUUUUGAUGCCCACAACAACCUUGGGGAAGGGGCGGAAUAGCAGAGGGGUAAGCUCUCUGCCCCCCACCAGGGUUCUGCAGGACGCCAGGGCUUUUAUCAGCACCCCUAUGUUCACAUCCUGGCUGCACCCUCCUUGGUUGUAUAUACUCUGGAUAAUUCACUUAAUUUAAAUCUUGCUGCUUUUAUAAAAUUGAUAAAAAGUUAAUAGUGACACUGAUCACACUGAUGUCCCUCAAUGAAUUAUCAAUAUGUUUUUUCUUCCCACCUAUAUUCUUUAUUGAACUCUGUUAUUUUUGAUCCUGGUCUAGAGUAAGCAUUAUGACCAUGCAAGAGUGAAAUGAAAUUUUUAAAAAUAAUUUUUUAAUGUUUUCUGAAUGCUGGGUGUUUUCAAUGAUCAUGCAUGACUGGCAGCAAAGAGGAACGAGGAUGGAUUCGAUAAGGUGCAACAAGUCCUGAACACACACAGAGAACUGGCUGUGAAUCCUGUUUCUGCCACUCACCACUUACUUGUUGGGUAACCUUAGCCACUUCAUUUAUCCUCUCUGAUCUUCAGGCCUACCUCAUGUCCUCCCCAAAGAGAUGGUGGGUAAGAGAGAACUUUGCAAAAGGCUGCCAGAGCAUAAAUAGGUCUUAUGACUAUGUAGCAGAAAAAUGGGACCUCAAAGAGGAGAGAGACCUGCAAAGCGGGGGACUGCUGCCAUUCUUUGAGUGGUGGCUCAAAAUAUUUCCCCAAACUGUCCCCAUCUGGUCAGGAUGCCCCACAGCCUUUUACUAAGAUGGUGUCUUCAUCUAGCCUCAGCCCAGCUGCAGUACCUUUCUGGAACUCCCACCACUGAUGCUCAAGAGGAGAGUGUAAGUUCAAGAGGGUUAAGCUCUCUACCCACCCGCUCAUCCACAGUCCCUCAGACAAGCAUGCAGAUACAUGCUUUGUUUGGUUGGUUGGUUGGUUGGUCGGUCGGUUGGUUUUGUUUUGAGACAGGGUCUUGCUCUGUUGCUCAGCUGGAGUGCAGUGGCGCAGUCACAGCUCACUGCAGCCUCGAUCUCCCAGGCUCAAGUGGUCCUCCCACCUCAGUCUCCCAAGUAGCCAGGACUACAGGCACAUGCCACCACACCUGGCUAAUUUUUCAGUUUUUUGUAGAGAUGGGGUCUUACUAUGUUGCUCAGUCUGGUCUUUAACUCCUGGGCUCAAGCAAUCCUCCUACUUUGGCCUCCCAAAGUGCUGGGAUUACAGGGGUGAGCCACCGUACCCAGCCCAAGAAUGCUUUUAGAUUGUACUCUCUAAAAAUUAAUGUUUGUUCCUGGGAGUAAUGCAUGAGCUAAUAUAACAAGUCUAUUAAUCAAAUGAACUGACAUAAUUCCUGCUAACACAUGUAGGAAUAUUGAAAAGGAAAUUCAGCCAGGAAGCUCUAAAUCCACAACAAAGUGCAAGAUACUAUAUUAUCACAUUGAAAAACACAAUCCAGCCACCUGAAACAAGCAGUGUGACCCAAAAGCCAUUUUCCUAAAUUUGUUGAAGGGUUUCUCCAGCCCUGCACUGUCCAAUAUGAUAGCCACUGGCCACAUGUGGCUGUUUAGUUUUAAAUUUUAAUGAAUUAGAAUUAAAUAAAAUGUAAAACUUAAUCCUCAGCUACAUUAUCCACAUUUCAAGUGCUUAACAGACAUAUGUGGCAAGUGGCUACCAUAUUGGAUGCAUCCCUCUCCUCAGUACAAUCCCACAGGGUGAGUGUGGUCCUCAAACUCCUUCCCAAACUUCCAAGUCACCAAGUAAACACCACAGGCUUCUCUGAGAGAUGAGAAGAAAAAAAUAAGGAAAUCUUUCAUUUAGCCAAAAAGCCAUGUCUUGACAAGAAAAGAUCAAUAUAAAUAAAAUUACAGGGCAAUUAUUGGAGAAGUGAUCUCUUCCAUCAGCAUUUGGACCAUUUAAAGUAGAUACAAAAGGAUAUAGAAGACUAGUUUCCGAAACAGCCCCAUGCUUUAGGACCUGGAUCGGGACUUUCAAAAAUAUAUACUUUUUUUUUAACUUUUAUUUUAAGUUCAGGGAUACAAGUGCAGGUUUGUUACAAAGGUAAAUUUGUGUCUGGGGGGUUUGUUGUACAGAUUAUUUCAUUACCCAGGUAUUAAGCCUAGUACCCAUUAGUUAUUUUUCCUGAUCUCCUCCCUCCUCCAACCUUCCACUCUCUGAAAGGCCCCAAUGUCUGCUGUUCCCCUCUAUGUGUUCAUAUGUUCUUAUCAUUUAGCUCCCACUUAUUAGUUAGAACAUGCAGUAUUUGGUUUUUGUAUCCUUAGGAUACGAAAGGAUAAUGGCCUCCAGCUCCAUCCAUGUCCCUGCAAAGGACAUCAUCUUAUUCUUUUUUAGGGCUGCAUAGUAUUCCGUGGUGUAUAUACCUUUUAAUGUAGAUUACCUUGAUUAUGGGAACAAUGUUGUUACAGAUUUUAUCGUUUUUGAGAAAGUAUAAUGAAAAUUGUGUCUAACAAAGUAAUAAGAUUCCUUUCUGUCUAUAUAGUGAAAAUGCUCAGGAUGUUCACUGCAGCCUGCCUCACCCUGGAAAAGAGAUGUGAGGAUAAUGAGAAAGAAGAGUAUGUUCAGUGCGGAGCAUGCAAAUUUGCAUGAAAACUUCCCAGGCAAAGCAGGAAAGAAACCAGACCUCUUUUCUGCACAAUAAUGGGGCCCACUAACUCUGGGGAAAAGAGUAAUCAGCAAAUGCCUUUCCUUUCUCCUGCUGAUGUUUUGCCCGUACUCAGACCCCUUGACUUCUUAGCUUCUACCCAAAGUGAGCUUGUCAUCAAAGUUCUCCAAAAAUCUGCAGUGUUCUCUUGAGCAAAUCUGCCUGCUCAAAUUUUCCUAUACAGUUCAAUACACUGAUUGAGGCCAGGCGCGGUGGCUCACACCUGUAAUCCCAGCACUUCGGGAGGCCAGACGGGUGGAUCACGAGCUUCCAAGACUAUAGCGCUCUGAUGCAUUGAGAUGACAGCAAGCGGCAUUUUUCAGUCCUGUUACCCAUAUGGCUGCUACCACUGCAUCCUGUUAAAUAAUGUCUUCAACCCAAGAAACCUGCUUCCUAGGGAAGUUUCUCUCUCUCUGCAUUUGUUCCCACUAGAGAAUGACCAUCACCAGAUUCCUGAACUGAAAAUGCUGUUGACACUUUGGAAACUCGGGCCUCUAUUAAUAGGGUGACCAACUAUCCUGGUUUACCUUGAGUACAGGAUUUUCAAUGCUAAAACCAGAAAAACCAGGAUGGUUGGUCAUCUGCCUCAGACCUAAUAAAUACCAGUCAAUAAUUCAGCCAUGAGCUUUCUUAAGACACUGUCUUUUCUUGACUGUUGAAUAGUCUAGGACUUGAGUAGCAGCUCUUUCUGCUACUGGACACUUGUUUUACUACCCUAUUUCUCUAGAUUUUAUUUUGUGGCUAAUAAUUAAGACAUAAAAUCAUGGGUUCUGGUUAUGCCAAAGCACUCACUCUUCAAAAGUUUCCAUCCAGAGUUGGAUAAUCCCACACAGAAGGUGUUCUUUCAACAGACCAGCAUCCAAUAGACCCAAUGCAGCAUUUUUCUUCCUGGUUCCACAUUAAUACAUCCUAUCUCUGCUAUGCUUAGGUCCCUGAUUUAUAAAUAUUUCAGACAUAUUUUCUCAGGACACAGGGAGUACUUAAACUUCCACAUAGCAGAGAUACGACAUACAAUAAGCUGUUAUCUGGAAACUCCUAGUGAUGCUUUGAGUACUUUACAGUAAUCUUUCUGGUCUUCCUCUCAACCCCAUUAAGUUUUUCUGUAACUAGCUGGUGUAUCUGUCUCCAUCUUUAAGGAAUAAGUCCCUAUUUGCUCAUGCUAUAAUCUCCCUCAUGCUCUCCGUCCCUCCUUCCCUCUCCUUCUCUCUUUCUGUCUCUCUCUCUCUCCACCCUGAUUGUGAGAUGCUACACCUUAAUAGUUUUCUAUACCUAGAUCCCUUUUGAAGGAGUAAUUUCAGCCAUCACUGAAAUCUAUGCUUUUUUAUCUUGUUAGAUUUAUUUAGGACCUAAUGACUGUUUCUGAGCUAAUAAUAACGCAAUCAGCUCAUAUUUUUCUGAUACUCUAAGAGCAAUUACAUCUAGUUGCAUCACCUUUUCCUUUUUUAUUCAUGUAUCUUAGGCUUCUCAAGAUAUGAGACUAGCACUUGAGCCUGAGAUAAGCCUUAAGAAUUCCAGGAUAGUCUCUCCAUAGUUCCCUUUCUUGGAUAAAGUCAUUUCAAAACAUCUUAGUGGAUCAGAUUUGGAGCAGCCUACUUACACUGGUGAAUACCACAACUAAUAAAUAAUUGUUCUGCACCCCACCCACAUCUAAAGGAUUCAGGGUGUCUUUUACAGAUAUAGGACUCUCCUUUCUCUGUUUCUCUUCUCUCUCUUCUCCUUGAUUAAAGCUUUGCUUCAGCUGUCCCUGCUCACUACGGCACUGCACCUCACCAGCAUCUUCAUGGCCCUCACAUGGCUCAUGUGCAUAUCCUAACUCUGAUACUAAGGGAGGAGACCACCCCUCAUAUUGUCUUAUGCCCAAUUUCUGCCUCCAAAGAAAGAAGAAGUAAAAACUAAAAGGCAGAAAUGAAAUCCACAAGCAGACAGCCCGGCGCCACACCCUGGGCCUGGUAGUUAAAGAUCGACCCCUGACCUAAUCGGUUAUUUGCAUAAGAAAAGCACUGUGAAGAUCCCUGUCCUGUUCUGUUCCAUUCUAAUUACCGGUGUAUGCAGCCCCCAGUCAUGUACCCCUGCUUGCUCAAUCGAUCACGACCCUCUCACGUGGACCCCCUUAGAGUUGUGGGCCCUUAAAAGGGACAGGAAUUGCUCACUCGGGGAGCUUGGUUGUUGGAGAUGUGAGUCUUGCUAAAGCUCCCAGCCGAAUAAAGCCCUUCCUUCUUAA